rnacentral:rRNA from 1 species
GAUGAACGCUAGCUACAGGCUUAACACAUGCAAGUCGAGGGGUAACGAGAGGGAAGCUUGCUUUCCUUGUCGACGACCGGCGCACGGGUGAGUAACGCGUAUCCAACCUGCCCCCAACUAGGGAAUAACCUUGCGAAAGUAAGACUAAUACCCUAUAAUUUCCUCAGAUGUCAUCUGACGAGGAAUAAAGAUUUAUCGGUUGUGGAUGGGGAUGCGUCUGAUUAGCUUGUUGGCGGGGUAACGGCCCACCAAGGCAACGAUCAGUAGGGGUUCUGAGAGGAAGGUCCCCCACAUUGGAACUAGGACACGGUCCAAACUCCUACGGGAGGCAGCAGUGAGGAAUGUUGGUCAAUGGGCGGAAGCCUGAACCAGCCAAGUAGCGUGCAGGAUGACGGCCCUAUGGGUUGUAAACUGCUUUUAUACAGGAAUAAAGUUAGCCACGUGUGGUUAUUUGUAGGUACUGUAUGAAUAAGGACCGGCUAAUUCCGUGCCAGCCGCCGCCGUAA